rnacentral:tRNA from 1 species
GGAGGUAUAGCAAAGCUGGUAAUGCACUUGAUUGCAAAUCAAUGAUUCGUCGGUUCGAGUCCGGCUACCUCCUCCA